AAUACAUUACCGUGCCCUAGCCUCCUUGCCCACACCGAUCCCCACCUCGCGAGCGCCCCCGAUUUCUUCGCCACCGACCUCUCCUCCGUCGAACUCCUUCCUUCCCUCUCCCUCUCGCGAGUUCCCGUGCCCUAGCUCUCACACCGCCGACCUCCCUCCUUCCCCAGCCUCGCGUUUCCCCUCACCAAACCGCCACCUCUGUCCAUAGCACGGGAUCGCGCCGGCGUUGCUCAUCCCGGCGUCGACCAAGCCUUCUUCCCUCUUUUCCUCACGAGUUCCCACAACCGCAUUCGGCGAUCUCUCCUCCUCACGCUAGCACCAGAGAUGCCGCGACGAGCCAACGACCGAUGCCAAUCCUCUUCUCUCCGAGUCGUGCCCUAACUGAUCCAGCAAGUACUCUCCAUAUGUUGGUAUGAGAUCAGGGAGGUUUCCUUUCUAAUUUCUGCAAUGGAAUUGGGCUUAGCGCAUGGAGGACUGACUUUACUCGAUUUCUUUUGACGUUUUGAGUUAGGGAUCCUAUUCUUGACAGUCUCGGCUAGAUGCGAUGGUAUUUAGCUUUCUCCUAGGGUUGUCGAAAGCUUUGGAACAGGUUGUAGGUGCUUUGCGCUUUGAUUGAUAAUGUCUUGCUGCUCUCUGUUGUAAGAACAUGUGAACAAAUUCGGAAGUUUGGAUUUCAAGUCAAGGACGUUAAUUGAGACGAUUGACGUGACGGAGCAUGAUUUGGUUCAGACUAUCUAGUAAAG